rnacentral:rRNA from 1 species
AGAGUUUGAUCCUGGCUCAGAACGAACACUGGCGGCGUGCUUAAUACAUGCAAGUCGAACGAGAAAGUCAUCUUCGGAUGGCGAGUAAAGUGGCGAACGGGUGAGUAACGCGUAAGUAAUUUGCCUUUCAGUUCGGAAUAACUCUGCUAACGCGGGGCUAAUACCGGAGAUGUUGACCUAGCAAAAGCUAAGUUAACCAAAGAUGCUUUCCUUCGGGGGGGUGUUGCUGGAAGAUGAGCUUGCGUCCUAUUAGUUAGUUGGUGAGGUAAUGGCUCACCAAGACUUUGAUAGGUAGCCGACCUGAGAGGGUGAUCGGCCACAUUGGGACUGAGAUACGGCCCAGACUCCUACGGGAGGCAGCAGUAGGGAAUUUUGCGCAAUGGGCGAAAGCCUGACGCAGCAACGCCGCGUGAGUGAUGAAGGAUUUAGGUCUGUAAAACUCUGUCAGGAGGGAAGAAACGGUAAUUUAACAAAUUAUCCUGACGGUACCUCCAGAGGAAGCUCCGGCUAACUUCGUGCCAGCAGCCGCGGUAAUACGAGGGGGGCUAGUGUUGUUCGGAAUUACUGGGCGUAAAGGGAGCGUAGGCGGAAAAUUUAGUCAGAGGUGUAAUCUCGGGGCUCAACCCCGAAAUUGCCUUUGAAACUGAUUUUCUUGAAUAUAACAGAGGGUGAUAGAAUUUCUGGUGUAGCGGUGGAAUGCGUAGAUAUCAGAAGGAAUACCGAUAGCGAAGGCAGUCACCUGGGUUAAUAUUGACGCUGAAGCCCGAAAGCGUGGGGAGCAAACAGGAUUAGAUACCCUGGUAGUCCACGCCGUAAACGAUGGAUACUAGGUGUUGGGGGAGUCAAUCCUCUCGGCGCCGAAGUUAACGCAUUAAGUAUCCCGCCUGGGGAGUACGAUCGCAAGAUUGAAACUCAAAGGAAUUGACGGGGGCCCGCACAAGCGGUGGAGUAUGUGGUUUAAUUCGAUGAUACGCGAAGAACCUUACCUGGGUUUAACAUGGGAGUGAAAGGCGCUGGAGACAGUGCCCCUCUUCGGACACUCCGCAUAGGUGCUGCAUGGCUGUCGUCAGCUCGUGUCGUGAGAUGUUGGGUUAAGUCCCGCAACGAGCGCAACCCUCGUCGUUAGUUGCCAGCGAGUAAUGUCGGGAACUCUAACGAGACUGCCCUUUUUUGAAAGGGAGGAAGGUGGGGAUGACGUCAAGUCCUCAUGGCCCUUACAUCCAGGGCUACACACGUACUACAAUGGUCGGUACAAAGAGUUGCAAUACCGCGAGGUGGAGCUAAUCUCAAAAAACCGGCCCAAGUUCGGAUUAUAGUCUGCAACUCGACUAUAUGAAGUUGGAAUCGCUAGUAAUCGUGGAUCAGCAUGCCACGGUGAAUACGUUAUCGGGCCUUGUACACACCGCCCGUCAAGCCAUGAAAGUCGGGGGCGCUCGAAGUGGUUGUUCUAACCUUCGGGAAGAACGCUACUAAAGUGAAACCGGUAAUUGGGGCUAAGUAACAAGGUA